rnacentral:rRNA from 1 species
UUGAGUGGAUCCUGAGUACGACGGAGCACGUGAAAUUCCGUCGGAAUCUGGGAGGACCAUCUCCUAAGGCUAAAUACUCUCUAGUGACCGAUAGUGAACCAGUACCGUGAGGGAAAGGUGAAAAGCACCCCGGAAGGGGAGUGAAAUAGAACCUGAAACCGUGUGCUUACAAGUAGUCAGAGCCCGUUAAUGGGUGAUGGCGUGCCUUUUGUAGAAUGAACCGGCGAGUUACGAUUUGAUGCAAGGUUAAGCAGUAAAUGUGGAGCCGUAGCGAAAGCGAGUCUGAAUAGGGCGUUUAGUAUUUGGUCGUAGACCCGAAACCAGGUGAUCUACCCUUGGUCAGGUUGAAGUUCAGGUAACACUGAAUGGAGGACCGAACCGACUUACGUUGAAAAGUGAGCGGAUGAACUGAGGGUAGCGGAGAAAUUCCAAUCGAACCUGGAGAUAGCUGGUUCUCUCCGAAAUAGCUUUAGGGCUAGCCUCAAGUGAUGAUUAUUGGAGGUAGAGCACUGUUUGGACGAGGGGCCCCUCUCGGGUUACCGAAUUCAGACAAACUCCGAAUGCCAAUUAAUUUAACUUGGGAGUCAGAACAUGGGUGAUAAGGUCCGUGUUCGAAAGGGAAACAGCCCAGACCACCAGCUAAGGUCCCAAAAUAUAUGUUAAGUGGAAAAGGAUGUGGCGUUGCCCAGACAACUAGGAUGUUGGCUUAGAAGCAGCCAUCAUUUAAAGAGUGCGUAAUAGCUCACUAGUCGAGUGACACUGCGCCGAAAAUGUACCGGGGCUAAACAUAUUACCGA